UUGCUCGAUUCUCUUCUUUGCUUUAGAUUCAUCACUCGUUCUUUCCUUCACGUUCUCUUCUCAUCUUUAACCUCAUCUCUCACACGUUCCUCUUCUCUAAUUUUCUCAGGAAACAAACAGGAAAAUUAGGGUUCUUCUGAAACUCAAUAACUUUUUAUGAUGAUGAUAAUGAUAAUAAUGAUGAGGGAGUGAGGUGGUGCGAGAACUAAAGCAAGGAGUCCAGGGUGAUAAUGGUGAUGGUGAUGUUAAUGGCAACACUGUAAAUUUGAGGCUGACAUUAUUUGAAGAAUGUGAAGCAGAAGAGAGGUUUUUGUUGUUAAAGGAGCCUGCUUGUUCUUCUAUGUAGAGAAGGUAUAUUUGGUAUUGGAUCAAAUUGAGAAAGAACUUCAUUAUUUACCAUUUGGGGUUAGUAGCUGCUGUUUUCCUCAAAUGGGUUGGCCCUUUUUUCAUUGAUAAGAAAAUAAUGACGUCAACUCUAAUCCAUGGCGGCUAAUACAACUGAGACCGUAGUUUAAUCUGUGUUGGGGAGAGAUGGAUUUGUUAACAAGUUCCUUGCUAUGUCCGCUAUUGAUUUGGCUCCUGCUUCAAGCUUUCAACUCGAUUAUAAAUGGAAGUAAAUCAAGUCAACAAAAGCUUCCACCUGGUCCGCGGCGGAUGCCAUCAUCGGUAAUCUCAUCGAUCUUGGGGAUAAACCCCACAGAUCCUUGGCUAAGCUUGCUCAGAUUCAUGGCCCCGUUAUGAGUCUCAAACUCAGCAGCUUAAUCACCGUCGUCGUUUCAUCGGAAACAAUGGCCAAAUAAAAGGAUAUCGUUUUCUCUAACUGAACCAUGAUCGAUGCUAUCCGAGCCUGUCAACACCAUGAAGUUGGGCUGACGUGGAUACCCGUGUCGCCGCUUUGGAGAACUCUUCGCAAAGUCUGUAAUACCCAUGUUUUCGCUAGUAUGAAACUCGAUGCCACUCAAUACCUGCGUCGGAACAAGAUUCAGGAACUGGUUGCUAAUGUUGGCGAAAGUUGCCAUAAAGGUGAAGCUAUCAAGAUCGGGCAAGCUGUUUUUGAUACUACCAUUAAUUUGCUGUCCAACACUAUUUUUUCAGUGGAUUUGGCUGACCCAAAUUUAUCAAGUGCUCAAGAAUUCAGAAAAAUAGUUUGUGAUAUCAUGGUAGAGGCAGGGGCCCUUUGCUUAAGAAGAUUGACCCAAAAGGUGUACGGCGCUGGAUGACUGUUCAUUUCAACAAGUUGCUUAACCUUUUCGGCAAUAUGUUCGAUGAAAGGCGACAAUCAAGACAAUCCCAAGAUUAUUCUGUAUCAAAUGAUGUUUUGGAUACUCUUUUCGACAUUAUUGAAGGCGGUAUCGAGAAGCUUAAUAAAAUUAUUGUCACAAAAUUGUUUUUGAAGAGACAUCUUGGCAUUGUUAGAGAAGUCUUAAGAUCGAUUAUUAGGAUAAGAAUAUCAUGUUAGAGGACAUGUUUUAUUUGUUGCUAGAACUGAUACAACAUCAAGCACAUUAGAGUGGGCAAUGGCAGAAGUGCUUUGAAAUCCACAGGUUUUACUUAAAGCUAAGAAAAAAUUAGAUGAAGCAAUCGACAAAGAAAAUCCUGUUGAGGAAUCUGACAUAAACCGUUUACCAUAUUUGCAAGCAAUCAUCAAAGAAACCUUCCGAAUGCACCCAGCUGUCCCACUGUUACUCCCUCGCCAGCAGGCUCUGAUGCUAACCUUUGCGGUUUCAAAGUUCUUGAGGGUUCAUAAGUGUUGGUUAACGUAUAGGCCAUCGGAAAAGAUCGAAGCAUUUGGAAUAACCUAAACAGUUUCAUGCCGGAGAGAUUCUUGGGGUCUGAAAUAGAUGUCAAAGGUAAGGACUUUGGGUUAAUUCCAUUUGGAGCUGGACGACGGAUAUGCCCAAGAUUGCUUUUAGCAAAUCGAAUGUUGCAUUUGAUAUUAGGGUAUCUUAACUGUUUUGAUUGGGAACUUGAAGGUGAAAUCUCACCAAAUGAGAUGAAUAUGAAAGAGAAGUAUGGGAUUGCGGUUCAAAUGGUGGAACCUUUGCUGGCAAUCCUUAUUCUUGUGUGAUAA